CACGUAGGGUGCGAGCGUUGUCCGGAAUUAUUGGGCGUAAAGAGCUCGUAGGCGGUGUGUCGCGUCGGCCGUGAAAACCUGCAGCUUAACUGUGGGCUUGCGGUCGAUACGGGCGGGCUGGAGUUCGGUAGGGGAGACUGGAAUUCCUGGUGUAGCGGUGAAAUGCGCAGAUAUCGGGAGGAACACCGGUGGCGAAGGCGGUUCUCUGGGCCUGUACUGACGCUGAGGAGCGAAAGCGUGGGGAGCGAACAGG
rnacentral:rRNA from 1 species